CAGAUUCAAAGGAGGACAUGAACAGAAUGGAAUUGGAAACUAGCAUCCGACGAGUUAUCCUGAAGUACCGGAAGACCUCGGUAAAGAAAGGAGAAAAGGGGAAGGUUAAGCCAAACUCCCUCUGUUUAGCGAAAAAGACCAGGCUAAGAUCCUUUUGGGGAUCGAUUAGGUCGGAGGGAGGAGGAUCAGGAAGAACGAUCCUCUCGUUCGGGUAGGGGGCCCGAAUACGAAAGAGAGGGGUAUCUAAAUACUCCCUAGAGAAGAAAUUUUUUAGGGCAGAUGGAGUGACAUUAGACUCUACUCUAAGAACGUCGGGAAGUUUUGGGCUAUCCAUGGAAGGACAAAGAGGAGAGCGUACCUUGAAAGUGGCUGGGGCAGAAGGACGAUGUAGGCAAAUCGCGCAGAAGAUAGAAGAGAGCAAAGG
rnacentral:lncRNA from 1 species